rnacentral:rRNA from 1 species
UACAGGGGGGGCAAGCGUUGUUCGGAAUUACUGGGCGUAAAGGGUUUGUAGGUGGCCACUUAAGUCAGACGUGAAAUCCCUCAGCUUAACUGGGGAACUGCGUCUGAUACUGCGUGGCUUGAGUGCAGGAGAGGAACGCGGAAUUCCAGGUGUAGCGGUGAAAUGCGUAGAUAUCUGGAGGAACACCGGUGGCGAAGGCGGCGUUCUGGACUGUAACUGACACUGAAAAACGAAAGCCAGGGGAGCAAGCGGG